UACGGGGGGAGCAAGCGUUGUUCGGAUUUACUGGGCGUAAAGGGCGCGUAGGCGGUCAGCACAAGUCAGUUGUGAAAUCUCCGGGCUUAACCCGGAAAGGUCAACUGAUACUGUGCGACUAGAGUGCGGAAGGGGCAACUGGAAUUCUCGGUGUAGCGGUGAAAUGCGUAGAUAUCGAGAGGAACACCUGCGGCGAAGGCGGGUUGCUGGGCUGACACUGACGCUGAAACGCGAAAGCUAGGGGAGCGAACGGG
rnacentral:rRNA from 1 species